GNAUUGCGCAUGGGCGAANCCUGNGCACGACGCCGCGUGGGGGAUGAAGCUUCUCGGAGUGUAAACCCCUUUCGACCCGGACGAAACGCCCGCAAGGGUUUGACGGUACGGGUAUAAGAAGCCCCGGCUAACUACGUGCCAGCAGCCGCGGUAAUACGUAGGGGGCCAGCGUUGCUCGGAAUUACNUGGGCGUAAAGGGUUCGUAGGUGGUGCGGCAAGUUGGGAGUGAAAUCUCUGGGCUUAACUCAGAGGCUGCUUUCAAAACUGCCGCGCUCGAGUGCGGGAGAGGCCAGUGGAAUUGCAGGUGUAGCGGUGAAAUGCGUAGAUAUCUGCAGGAACACCCGUGGCGAAGGCGGCUGGCUGGACCGCAACUGACACUGAGGAACGAAAGCUAGGGGAGCAAACAGGAUUAGAUACCCUGGUAGUCCUAGCCCUAAACCAUCAGAACUUGGGGUGGCCCGCGUAGGCGGGUCGUCCCGUAGCUAACGCGUUAAGUUCUGCGCCUGGGGAGUACGGUCGCAAGACUGAAACUCAAAAAAAUUGACGGA
rnacentral:rRNA from 1 species